UGCUCUAGCACUGAGCCUGCAGUAUUUCCAAAGUGUGUCUGUAUGUUAUUUGUAAACUUGCUUUGAAUGUCCACAAGACUGUCUCACGUUCUGUAAAAAUAAACAUUCCUGUCAUGGUAAUAAAUUACAGCUUUAACAAAGCCUAAGCAAAAACUACCUUUGAACACAUUUGACUGACUUAAUGUUCUAGGUUUUGUGUUAAAUAUUAAUUUUAUGUAAUCUCUGACACACUGUGAAGUCCAGCUCUGACUUUUUGUUUUGCCACCUGAGAUUUUCUAGUCUAACUGAUGGAGGUUUCCGAGGGGCUCCCAAGCCCGGGCUCUUCUUGCCUAGUGAGUCCUACACGCUGUCCUCUCAGUUGAUCCUGUACUGUGCUGGGCACGGGUGACCCACGAGGCAUAGGAUAUGACAGUACCUUGGCCCAGGAUGAACAGGUGUGUCAGCAGGUAAUAGUGGAAGGCUCAGAGCCAUGAUGAAGACAUGUUAUGAGGCUCAGGGGCAGAGGGCUGCAGCAAAGUCUUCUCAGAGGAGCAAGCAUCUUGGUUUGGUUCAAGUGGAAGCUCAUCACCAUGACAUGAAAGAACAAAGACUCUGGAAUCAGGUGGCUACAGUUUUGAAUCACUCAGGAUCCUAGGAGACGAAGGGGCUGAGAAAGGACGAGUGCUGACCUUCCAUGUUUCCUCCCUCACAUGCUGGCCCUUGCUUCUGCCUCAUAACAAUACAGCAGGAAAAUCACCAACCUUUACAGAGCAACCUUGGGAACAGGACUGAAAAAGAAACAUUCUGAACAUGCUCUGGGAGCAAAAAUGGACUCAGUAUUCAAGUUCCCAUCAGUGGGAUUUUACCAAAUAAAUUCAGUGCUGGUAUUGAUCAGUUUAUCUGGUUUAAGGGGUGAAACCCAGCUGAGUGUAGUACAGGAUGCAAGUACUAGAACUACAUGGGGAUCUCCCAGGACCCAGGGCAGGGGCGACACUGAGAAAGGGGCCUGGAAGUGGGCAGGCUCUCUCCUUUCCUCCCUUCCACCCCUGGCUCUCUCACCUCCAGCUCAACGUGGAGACGUUUACAGUUUCCAGCAUUUCUCUGAAAACCAGCCCUCUCUGCUCACUUGUUGGUGUGGUGGUUGCAAAUGGGCAUUGCAGGAAAGCAUCUCAUUCCGAGCAUCCUUACACCCCACAGAGGGUCAGAUGCAUAGAAGUUCCUUUAAUUAAUCUUUAUUAACUAGCCCCUUGAUGAAACUGAAUAAAUAUGGUAUCUAGAGCUCACUAAAUAUUCUUUGGCUUAAACUUCACAUUCCCUGGAGGGAGAAAUUAAGCAGCCA